AUACUUACCUGGCAAGGGAGACACCGUGAUCAAGAAGGCGGUUCACCCAGGGCGAGGCUCAGCCAUUGCACUCCGGCUGUGCUGACCCCUGCGAAUUUCCCAAAUGUGGAAAUCUCGAUUGCAUAAUUUCUGGUAGUGGGGACUGCGUUCUCGCUCUCCCCU
rnacentral:snRNA from 8 species